UGCUAACAGGAAUAUCAUUGG
rnacentral:piRNA from 1 species